rnacentral:rRNA from 1 species
AUUGAACGCUGGCGGCAGGCCUAACACAUGCAAGUCGAACGAGUCGCGGACGGGUGAGUAAUGUCUGGGAAACUUCCUGGGGGAGGGGUAUAACUACUGGAAACGGUAGCUACAACCGCAUACCAUCAGAGGUGCCCAGAUGGGAGUAGCUUGUGGGUGGGGUAACGGCUCACCAAGGCGACGAUCCCUAGCUGGUGUGAGAGGAUGACCAGCCACACUGGAACUGAGACACGGCCCAGACUCCUACGGGAGGCAGCAGUGGGGAAUAUUGGACAAUGGGGGCAAGCCUGAUGCAGCCAUGCCGCGUGUAUGAAGAAGGCCUUCGGGUUGUAAAGUACUUUCAGCGGGGAGGCGUUACCCGCAGAAGAAGCACCGGCUAACUCCGUGCCAGCAGCCGCGGUAAUUC